rnacentral:rRNA from 1 species
UACGUAGGGUGCAAGCGUUAAUCGGAAUUACUGGGCGUAAAGCGUGCGCAGGCGGUUUUGUAAGUCUGUCGUGAAAUCCCCGGGCUCAACCUGGGAAUUGCGAUGGAGACUGCAAGGCUAGAAUCUGGCAGAGGGGGGGGUAGAAUUCCACGUGUAGCAGUGAAAUGCGUAGAGAUGUGGAGGAACACCGAUGGCGAAGGCAGCCCCCUGGGUCAAGGUUGACGCUCAUGCACGAAAGCGUGGGGAGCAAACCGAGG